CAGCAGCCGCGGUAAUACGAAGGGUGCAAGCGUUACUCGGAAUUACUGGGCGUAAAGCGUGCGUAGGUGGUGGUUUAAGUCCGUUGUGAAAGCCCUGGGCUCAACCUGGGAAUUGCAGUGGAUACUGGGUCACUAGAGUGUGGUAGAGGAUAGUGGAAUUUCCGGUGUAGCAGUGAAAUGCGUAGAGAUCGGAAGGAACAUCUGUGGCGAAGGCGACUAUCUGGGCCAACACUGACACUGAGGCACGAAAGCGUGGGGAGCAAACAGGAUUAGAUACCCCAGUAGUCCCUGUCUCUUAUAA
rnacentral:rRNA from 1 species